rnacentral:rRNA from 1 species
CACACCGCCCGUCACACCACGGAAGUCGUUCACACCCGAAGUCCCGCUAAGGCGGCCUAAGGCGGGGGCGAUGACUGGGGUGAAGUCGUAACAAGGUAGCCGUAUCGGAAGGUGCGGCUGGAUCACCUCCUUUCUAAGGAG